CAGUCGCCGCGGGAAUACGUAGGUGGCAAGCGUUGUCCGGAAUUAUUGGGCGUAAAGGGCUCGCAGGCGGUUUCUUAAGUCUGAUGUGAAAGCCCCCGGCUCAACCGGGGAGGGUCAUUGGAAACUGGGAAACUUGAGUGCAGAAGAGGAGAGUGGAAUUCCACGUGUAGCGGUGAAAUGCGUAGAGAUGUGGAGGAACACCAGUGGCGAAGGCGACUCUCUGGUCUGUAACCGACGCUGAGGAGCGAAAGCGUGGGGAGCGAACAGGAUUAGAUACCCCAGUAGUCCCUGUCUCUUAUAC
rnacentral:rRNA from 1 species